CACGUAGGGGGCGAGCGUUGUCCGGAUUUAUUGGGCGUAAAGAGCUCGUAGGCGGCUCAGUAAGUCAGGUGUGAAAACUCCAGGCUCAACCUGGAGACGCCACCUGAUACUGCUGUGGCUAGAGUCCGGUAGGGGAGCAUGGAAUUCCUGGUGUAGCGGUGAAAUGCGCAGAUAUCAGGAGGAACACCGGUGGCGAAGGCGGGUCUCUGGGCCGAUACUGACGCUGAGGAGCGAAAGCAUGGGUAGCGAACAGG
rnacentral:rRNA from 1 species